AUCCCAUACCUCAUAUUUUAUGCAACAUCGUUAGAUCUUUAAUCAUAAUUCUAGAUUUAAAAUAUAUUUUUUAAUUUUUAAUUAAGUAUAGCAUUAACAUGGGUUAAGAUUAUUAAUUAAAAUUAUUUUAAUUUUGUAAAAUAAUUUUACAUCAUUUUAUGCAAAAUUUUCUACUGUGAAAACUAGAUUGGCUCACCCCUAAACUGAGUUGGCUCACUUCAGUGG
rnacentral:lncRNA from 1 species